rnacentral:rRNA from 1 species
UGAGGAAUAUUGGACAAUGGGUUAGCGCCUGAUCCAGCCAUCCCGCGUGAAGGACGACGGCCCUAUGGGUUGUAAACUUCUUUUGUACAGGGAUAAACCUUUCUACGAGUAGAAAGCUGAAGGUACUGUACGAAUAAGCACCGGCUAACUCCGUG